rnacentral:sRNA from 1 species
CUUGGUCAUUUAGAGGAAGUAAAAGUCGUAACAAGGUUUCCGUAGGUGAACCUGCGGAAGGAUCAUUAACGAGUUAGGGUCUCUCUGGCCCGACCUCCCAACCCUUUGUCUACUUGACCAUCGUUGCUUCGGCGAGCCCGUCCUCACGGACCGCCGGAGGGAUCUUUACUGGCCCUCUGGUCCGCGCUCGUCGGUAGCCCAACCUUUAAAAUCUUUAACUAAACGUGCCUUAAUCUAAGUACAAUUAUUAAAUAAAAGCAAAACUUUCAACAACGGAUCUCUUGGUUCUGGCAUCGAUGAAGAACGCAGCGAAAUGCGAUAAGUAAUGCGAAUUGCAGAAUUCCAGUGAGUCAUCGAAUCUUUGAACGCACAUUGCGCCCUUUGGUAUUCCGAAGGGCAUGCCUGUUCGAGCGUCAUUAUCACCCCUCAAGCCCUCGGCUUGGUGUUGGACGGUUUGGUGGAGGCCCCCUCGGGGGCUCCUGCCCCUCCCAAAGACAAUGACGGCGGCCUCGUUGGACCCCCGGUACACUGAGUUCUUCACGGGACACGUAUCGGACACAUGGGUUUACGGGACACGGUCUGCCUCCCCUCAGGGAGAAUCUUUCUAAGGUUGACCUCGGAUCAGGUAGGGAUACCCGCUGAACUUAAGCAUAUCAAUAAGCGGAGGAAAAGAAACCAACAGGGAUUGCCUCAGUAACGGCGAGUGAAGCGGCAACAGCUCAAAUUUGAAAUCUGGCCUCUUUGGGGUCCGAGUUGUAAUUUGUAGAGGAUGUUUCGGGUACCGCCUCGGUUUAAAUUUCUUGGAACAGAAUGUCAAAGAGGGUGAGAAUCCCGUCUUGGACCGGCGGUAGGGCCCAUGUGAAACUCCUUCGACNNANUUCGAGUUGUUUGGGAAU